CAGAAGAAGAGAAGCUCCCAUCAGAUCACCUUCAAUGACGACCAUGUUUUCCGUAGCUCUGCUGCUGCUGCUGGCUGCUGGAUCCUGUGUGAAGUGUGAACAGUUGACACAGCCAGCCUCUGUGACUGUGCAGCCAGGUCAACGUCUCACCAUCACUUGUCAGGUCUCUUAUUCUCUUGGCAGCUAUCGCACACAUUGGAUCAGACAGCCUGCAGGGAAAGGACUGGAGUGGAUUGGCGGCAAAUAUACUGGAGAUUCAUUCUACAAAGAUUCACUAAAGAACAAGUUUAGUAUCGACUUAGACUCUUCCAGCAACAGAGUGACUCUAAAUGGACAGAAUGUGCAGCCUGAAGACACUGCUGUGUAUUACUGUGCCAGACAGUCACAAUAACACAAACCAUCAGUAGACCUGCACAAAAACCCCUCAGUGCCUGAACACUUGUAACAUGAAGCCACCAGAGGAGGAGCCCUCAGACCACUAAUGAUUUCACACCAGCUCACUGUUACAGUCAAGAGAGAAACUUCUUUAGAAAGUCUUUAGAUUUUUUAAAUGGUUCAAUUUUUACAGAAACUGUUUUCAAUAAUUUAAAUAUGCUGACUUUAUAAUCUCUGAAACAUUACUGUAUGUUUUCCCAAAGUGAAAAUUGAAUAACACUAUUACACCUUUCA